CCGAGUGAGGGCCCUUUGGGUCCAACCUCCCACCCGUGUUUAUUUUACCUUGUUGCUUCGGCGGGCCCGCCUUUACUGGCCGCCGGGGGGCUCACGCCCCCGGGCCCGCGCCCGCCGAAGACACCCCCGAACUCUGUCUGAAGAUUGAAGUCUGAGUGAAAAUAUAAAUUAUUUA
rnacentral:misc_RNA from 1 species